rnacentral:rRNA from 1 species
UACGUAGGGGGCAAGCGUUGUCCGGAUUUAUUGGGCGUAAAGAGCGUGUAGGCGGCCAGGCAGGUCCGCUGUGAAAACUCGAGGCUCAACCUCGAGACGUCGGUUGAAACCGUACGGCUAGAGUCCGGAAGAGGAGAGUGGAAUUCCCGGUGUAGCGGUGAAAUGCGCAGAUAUCGGGAAGAACACCCGUGGCGAAGGCGGCUCUCUGGGACGGUACUGACGCUGAGACGCGAAAGCGUGGGGAGCGAACAGG